GAUGAACGCUGGCGGCGUGCUUAACACAUGCAAGUCGAACGAGAAGUGAAGACGGAAACCUUCGGGCGGAAGGCUUUAUUUCGAGUGGCGGACGGGUGAGUAACGCGUGGGUAACCUGCCUCAUACAGGGGGAUAACAGUUGGAAACGACUGUUAAUACCGCAUAAGACCACAGCACCGCAUGGUGCGGGGGUAAAAACUCCGGUGGUAUGAGAUGGACCCGCGUUCGAUUAGCCAGUUGGCGGGGUAACGGCCCACCAAAGCGACGAUCGAUAGCCGAUCUGAGAGGAUGACCGGUCACAUUGGGACUGAGACACGGCCCAAACUCCUACGGGAGGCAGCAGUGGGGAAUAUUGCACAAUGGGGGAAACCCUGAUGCAGCGACGCCGGGUGAGUGAAGAAGUAUUUCGGUAUGUAAAGCUCUAUCAGCAGGGAAGAAAAUGACGGUACCUGAGGAAGAAGCCCCGGCUAACUACGUG
rnacentral:rRNA from 1 species